CGCUAGGAGACACGCCCCCGCCUCGCACCGCCGGGCAGUAGUCUUUAACCGUGGAGCUCGGUCCGGCAGUUGCGGGACCGCGCCGGCGCGCCCUCCCUAGAAAGGUGAAACUGCGAGGAAGGGGGCUGUGAGGAUAAGUAAAAACACAUCAUUACGUCGGCUCUCGGGAAAACAGACCUGCGUGCUCACACACGAAUGCUCUCAUGAAAAUGCAGAUGAAAGUCUCAGCGAUUUCAGAGACUAAGAAAUGCUGGUUAGCUUGGGCUGUUUGCAGGAACUGAAAUGCUGGGAACUCUGAAGUUAAAGCUGCAUUUGUGGGGUACCCACAUGCACGGAGAAGCUGAAAAGCUAAUGUGCGGAGGAAGAAUGAAGUAAACACACAGAAGCUGAGAUAAGAGGUGGAGAGACAGAGAGACUUGCCUCUUUCUCCAGAGGUCCAGCUGCCCUUGGGAUCCAUGAGUACCCUAAAAUCCUCCCAAUAAAUUAACUUGCUUUUGCUUA